rnacentral:rRNA from 1 species
UGAGAGUAUACUGAGAAUAAGCAUCGGCUAACUCCGUGCCAGCAGCCGCGGUAAUACGGAGGAUGCGAGCGUUAUCCGGAUUUAUUGGGUUUAAAGGGUGCGCAGGCGGUCAGUUAAGUCAGUGGUCAAAUCGUGAGGCUCAACCUCAUCCCGCCAUUGAUACUGGUUGACUUGAUUGCGGUCGAGGUAGGCGGAAUUCGUCGUGUAGCGGUGAAAUGCAUAGAUAUGACGAAGAACACCGAUUGCGUAGGCAGCUUACCAGGCCGUUAAUGACGCUCAUGCACGAAAGUGCGGGGAUCGAACAGGAUUAGAUACCCUG